rnacentral:rRNA from 1 species
GACGAACGCUGGCGGCGUGCUUAACACAUGCAAGUCGAACGGUAAGGCCCUUCGGGGUACACGAGUGGCGAACGGGUGAGUAACACGUGGGUGAUCUGCCCUGCACUUCGGGAUAAGCCUGGGAAACUGGGUCGAAUACCGGAUAGGACCACUGCAUGCAUGGGUGGUGGUGGAAAGCUUUUGCGGUGUGGGAUGGGCCCGCGGCCUAUGAGCUUGUUGGUGGGGUGAUGGCCUACCAAGGCGACGACGGGUAGCCGGCCUGAGAGGGUGACCGGCCACACUGGGACUGAGAUACGGCCCAGACUCCUACGGGAGGCAGCAGUGGGGAAUAUUGCACAAUGGGCGCAAGCCUGAUGCAGCGACGCCGCGUGAGGGAUGACGGCCUUCGGGCUGUAAACCUCUUUCAGCACCGACGAAGCGCAAGUGACGGUAGGUGCAGAAGAAGGACCGGCCAACUACGUGCCAGCCGCCGCCGUAA